GCUGAACGCUAGCGGCAGGCUUAACACAUGCAAGCCGAGGGGUAGAGGUUGCUUGCAACCUUGAGACCGGCGCCCGGGUGCGUAACGCGUAUGCAACCUACCUUUGACAGAGGGAUAGCCCAGAGAAAUUUGGAUUAAUACCUAAUAGUAUAUAACCUUCGCAUGUUGGUUAUAUUAAAGUUCCAACGGUAAAAGAUGGGCAUGCGUCAUAUUAGAUAGAUGGUAAGGUAACGGCUUACCAUGGCAACGUUAGGUAGGGGUCCUGGGAGGGAGAUCCCCCACAAUGGUACAGAGACACGGACCAGACUCCUAGGGGAGGCAGCAGUGAGGAAUAUUGGACAAUGAGCGCAAGCCUGAUCCAGCCAUGCCGCGUGCAGGAAGAAGCAUCUAUGGUGUGUAAGCUGCUAUUGUACAGGAAGAAACACACCGAAGUGUCGGGGCUUGACGGUACUGUAAGAAUAAGGAUCGGCUAACUCCGUGCCAGCCGCCGCCGUAA
rnacentral:rRNA from 1 species